CCUACGGGAGGCAGCAGUCGAGAAUCAUUCACAAUGGGGGAAACCCUGAUGGUGCGACGCCGCGUGGGGGAAUGAAGGUCUUCGGAUUGUAAACCCCUGUCAUGUGGGAGCAAAUUAAAAAGAUAGUACCACACGAGGAAGAGACGGCUAACUCUGUGCCAGCAGCCGCGGUAAUACAGAGGUCUCAAGCGUUGUUCGGAAUCACUGGGCGUAAAGCGUGCGGAGGCUGUUUCGUAAGUCGGGUGUGAAAGGCGCGGGCUCAACCCGCGGACGGCACAUGAUACUGCGAGACUAGAGUAAUGGAGGGGGAACCGGAAUUCUCGGUGUAGCAGUGAAAUGCGUAGAUAUCGAGAGGAACACUCGUGGCGAAGGCGGGUUCCUGGACAUUAACUGACGCUGAGGCACGAAGGCCAGGGGAGCGAAAGGGAUUAGAUACCCGAGUAGUC
rnacentral:rRNA from 1 species